ACGGCCUUAGUUGAACAUGAUAUGUUCUAUAGGAUCGUACAGCUGCAUCUUUAAUAAUUAAAGAGGCAAGUGACAAACUAUAGCUGAUGAUACGUGGCCUCCAGGCUAGAGAGUGAUUAUCCUCAUCGGAUCGUAGCUAUGGCGGAUCGUUCUUGGUGAGUGCAACCAUCAAAGAUGACCCCGAGGCUUUCUGACAGAUA